rnacentral:lncRNA from 1 species
ACUGGCUUGCUGCUCUUCACUUUGUGGACGUUGAAUUACUUAUAGCCGUGAUCCUGGUCCUUAUCUUUGUAGUGCGUCGUCAUGAAUACCAAACCAGAAAUAGCUAUUCUCUCUCACCUUCUUCCUCGAUGAAUCCUUACAUCUUGAUGUGAAACUUCUAUAAAAUACAUUAUAUUGCCUUAUAAAAAAUACAGUACACAUUUAUAAUGUCUUAUAAACAGAGAUGUGAAAGCAUUCUUCUUAAUUCUAGUUGUACGCUCACUGUGUUUCUCUUGUUCACUCAGUCUCUGUUUUUCUUCUCACACUCACUCUGUUUUGUCUUGUGUUUCAUUAUUAAACAAGCAGACACAGUCUCUUUACUCCCU